CCUACGGGGUGCAGCAGUGGGGAAUAUUGGGCAAUGGGCGCAAGCCUGAUCCAGCAACGCCGCGUGAAGGAAGAAGGCUUUCGGGUUGUAAACUUCUUUUGUCAGGGAAGAGUAGAAGACGGUACCUGACGAAUAAGCCACGGCUAACUACGUGCCAGCAGCCGCGGUAAUACGUAGGUGGCAAGCGUUGUCCGGAUUUACUGGGUGUAAAGGGCGUGUGGCCGGGUUGACAAGUCAGAUGUGAAAUCCUGCGGCUUAACCGCAGAACUGCAUUUGAAACUGUUGAUCUUGAGUACUGGAGAGGCAGACGGAAUUCCUAGUGGAGCGGUGAAAUGCGUAGAUAUUAGGAGGAACACCAGUGGCGAAGGCGGUCUGCUGGACAGCAACUGACGGUGAGGCGCGAAAGCGUGGGGAGCAAACAGGAUUAGAUACCCGGGUAGUC
rnacentral:rRNA from 1 species